UUUGAUACCCGUUCCCUUUCCAUUCACCAAGUCCUUUCUCCUAUUACCCUUUCCCCUCUCCCUUUCUCUCUUUCCUCUCCACUUGACCCUAUCAAAGGAACUCAGCUUUCCAUCUCGCUACCAGACAACAAUGUUUUAAACUCCUUCUUCAUCGUUUUCUCUACUUCCCCUUCUUCUUCUGCUCUCCAAUGGCUAACCGACAAAUGCGAGUCCCCACCCAUUCCACCAAACAUGUUUAUCUUGUCUUUCAGAACAAAAGAAACAACACCACCAUCCUAAGCCUAAACAGAUCCGAGCUUUCUAUUUUGGCUAAACCAAGACUAUAGCUUGUUCUAUACUGUUGGUGGGUCUGUUUGUUUCCAAAGAUAACUUCACUGCAUUUUCUUUGCUUUUUCCCAAUGGAUGUUUUCUAGCUUCUUUCUUUUGGAGACAUUAAAGGUGAUGUGAAUUUGGGCGGUCCACAGAGAGCCAUGCCCAUGGAUCCCUCAAUUUAUGACAAGGAAUCAUGCAGUCAAAACCUGGAAUAGGAAAUACAGAUUUGAUGAACUGGAGACAACAUUGAUGGAGAUGGUUAAGCAGGACAAUCGACGCCAAUUAUGUGCUAGGAUCUUAAUGCUAUUUGAGCAAGAUCAAAAGGAAACAGAAGAUGCUUGUAGAUUUGCCGAACAAAAUGCAGCUGCACAGAGAUAUUCUGUUGAAGUGCUUCAGGUUUGAUUGUGGCAUGUUUGUGUAUUCUAUAUAUCAACUUCUAUAGCAGAGGCUUAAGUCUUUGUUUUGAGCAGGAACACAUGCCCUAUGCCCUAUUUUCGUUUAAGGACCACCAAGGAAAUUCUGAAACUGAAAGCUGAUUGAUCGGAUGUGUAUGCCGGCUUUCAUCAACUACUUUCGAAGGCCUUACUAGGAAUUGAAAUGGUGUGCAAAGAGAUUGCUUCUUCUGAUCUGAUUUUUCAAUAUAAAUACUGGACAAAGUAUGGAUAUUUUACUGCUGUUAGUAAAAUAGGAUUCUCUUCUUAGGAUCUUAGUUUGUUCACUUGUAUUAGACUCAACAAUGGCUUGCAUUGCAUUGGUGCUGAUUUUACUUAAAUUUUGAGGUUUACAAUUUUUAA